rnacentral:ncRNA from 17 species
UUCAACCUGCGACGCAACGACGUCUGUUCAGUAUCCGGGCACCUUGAACGGACCGAGCCAGUGGUGCGCCCACCGCGGUCAUCA